rnacentral:rRNA from 1 species
GCAAGUCGAACGAAGAUGUUCUUGUGUUCGCACGAGAGCUCUUAGUGGCGGACGGGUGAGUAACGCGUUGGUGACCUGCCCUAAAGAAGGGAACAACCUCGGGAAACUGAGGCUAAUACCCUAUGUGCUUCUAUAAGAUUAGAUGCUUAUGAAGUAAAGGUUCUGUGGACGAAAGGCUGCAGUGCCGCUUUAGGAGGGGCCUGCGUCCCAUCAGCUAGUUGGUAGGGUAAUGGCCUACCAAGGCAAUGACGGGUAGGGGACCUGAGAGGGUGACCCCCCACACUAGCACUGAAACACGGGCUAGACAUCUACGGAUGGCAGCAGUAGGGAAUCUUGCACAAUCGACGAAAGUCUGAUGCAGCAACGCCGCGUGUGCGAUGAAGGCCUUCGGGUUGUAAAGCACUUUUCUGAGGGAAGAGAAAGGACGGUACCUCAGGAAUAAGUCUCGGCUAACUACGUGCCAGCAGCCGCGGUAAUACGUAGGAGGCAAGCGUUAUCCGGAUUUAUUGGGCGUAAAGCGUGUGCAGGUGGUUUGGUAAGUUGGGUAUGAAAUCUCCUGGCUUAACUAGGAGAGGUUGCUCAAAACUACCAGACUAGAGGACGGUAGAGGAAGGUGGAAUUCCCGGUGUAGUAGUGAAAUGCGUAGAUAUCGGGAGGAACACCAGUGGCGAAGGCGGCCUUCUGGGCCGUUCCUGACACUAAGACACGAAAGCAUGGGUAGCAAACGGGAUUAGAAACCCCGGUAGUCCAUGCCGUAAACGAUGUGAACUUGAUGUCGGUAGCGUAAUAGUUAUCGGUGUCGUAGCUAACGCGGUAAGUUCACCGCCUGGGAGUACGAUCGCAAGGUUAAAACUCGAA